rnacentral:lncRNA from 1 species
UCCAGACCAGCAGCACACACGAGGACGGAAGUUGAGACAAUGGGCCUUGUUGGGCCGACGAAGAUGGAAGGAAGAGCACCUAAUAGUGGCUAUUGUUUUGGCCUUAAUUUGUGAAGACCAUGUUAUUUUGUAUACUAUUUUGUUCUAAUAUACAUGUAUGCAUAUACAUUCUGUACCAUGUUAUUUUAUUCUAUUUUUUAAUACACAUAUAUGUACAUACUCUUUUUUUUAAGGAAAAGAGAAGAGCUCUGCCGCUCAAUUAAGUAGGAAAAAAUAGGUUUAUGUACAACAACACCCCGGGUGCUAAUUUGGCAGCACAGAAUUCAUAGCCGGUAGUCUUUGCACUAUGUUCUCUUUGGUCCAGAAGGCGACCUGCUGCGCCAGCUUGACUGUGUCUUCGAAGAUUUUCCUAUUUCUUUCCUUCCACAGAUUCCGUUGAAGCGCAUCUAAGAGGACAACACAAAAAGGCUAAUGAUACAACUGAAUUAUACAAAUAUUAAAGCACGAAAAUACCUGGCAAAUUCAAAUAAAAGUAACAUCGCAAACUCAGAUUCAAGUAUUUGAUGCCAAUGAGCAGCAUAGGUGUUUGCAUGUGGGAAGCAGAAGAGCUAAAAAGUUUAGCAACCAGAUCAAUUAUGUCCUGUUGUAUAUUAAGCCUCAAUUGAUGAUGAUGAUGAUGUGUGCAUCUAUCAUGGAGCCAACUAAGUGCUACAAGUUGCUCCAGUGAUAGCUUGAAAGGACAAAUAGGAUGGGCCAUUAUAACCCACCAUAAGCUAAAUUGCAACUUAGAAAGUAAUGUGCAUACAUCUCCAAAUUUGUUCCUCACAAAAUUUGUGAAGUCUUUGAUAAUAUGAUUAUCUAUGUAUAAUUCAACGUCGCCUUCACCAAUAAAUGUAUGUGUAGCCAAUUGGAAUGAUUCAGUGUUUGCAUUUGGCAAAUGGCACAUACCUCCUAAACUCUAAACAUACCACACUGCUUCCCCAGGUGCCAUUUUUGGCUCUAGAUGCACACGAAGCUUUUCUACAACAAUCAUUAGGAUCAAUGACUUGGAAUCAUUGACUUUAACACGAGAGAAGAUUCCUCUUCAUCUAUUUAUAGUACCCAUCUAGAUAGAUUCAAAAUACAGAAUCUGCAAAAAGAAAAGAUCUAAAAGCACAAAAAAGUCACAUCUUUCAGAGUACCAUUUAUUUUAGUGAGCUAAAAAUAUACGAUUCCAAAAAUAGUAACAUUAGUUGUUUACUGGAUAAUAAUGCCAAAAAAUAUGGCAUUGUGCCUCACCUUGCCAACUAGGUCAAAGAGGAUAUCUAGGAGCACCAUGUGUCAAUACUACAUCCUCUCCUCCAGCACCAGCAACCACAUCAGCAAUAAUAUUUUUGCCCUAUGCAAAAAUCAUAAUCAAAGAGUUGGUAUUAGCGCUAAAGGAUCUGAAAGAUGCCAGAUUUAUGUACACAGUAAAAACUACUUCUCUUGACAACUUUAACAUUUCUUGUUCACAUAAUUAUAGUAGAUGCUAAUUGUACUAGUAGUAGUACUAAAAACAUGAGAUGUGACCAGCAAGUAGUUAAUCUGCAUAUUCAGUUCCAGUUUUUGUGUAAGUUGCCUUUACAUUUUUAGCAACUUAUCAUCGACAAAAUGCGUCCAUGCAUUUAACACACUCACCUAUGAGAUUUGCAAAAGGCGUACAAAAUUUAAAGCAACCACACAAGGAUGCUAUUGAAGCUAUGGGAUUUGUGGGGCUGCUUCAUAUGCCAAAGACUAGACCUUGCAAACACAUACCAAGUCAGCAACCAAAGUUUCAAUAUAUGUGAUCAAAAUAUUACUAUUCAUCAAGAGGAUGUCUGCAAUAUAAUGGGACUACUGAUUGAAGGCUAUGAUAUAGACAAAUAUGUAAAGAAAACAAUGCAGAGCAAAGAGAAAAUUGUGGACACAGAAUUGUAUAAGAGGUUUGCCGAUGCAAGACACAAGCUCGAGCUAGGCAGGCUGGAACAAAUUAUUUCUACAUCAAAAACUUCGGAUGAUGAUUUCAAAGAGCGUUUGUCUUGUUCACAAUUGGUGUCAUUCUAGCACCAACUAUAUAGACCCAUGUCUGUUGGAGUUAUAUACUAGUUGUUCGAGAAGUAUCAGUCAUUCCGAAAUUGAAUUGGGGCCAAUUCACUCUGACCCAUUUAUUAGACUCAUGUCAUAAUUACACGACAUGUCAACAAGCCACCCUAUAGGUCAAUUUAGCUCUACUAGUUCUACAUGAUACAACCAAUACCUAUAAACAAUGUCUAUUUUUGGUCUUACGUAUUUUCUUUAUAGUUUUGGUACUAGGAGCGCGUCAUUGCAACCAGCAAAUACAGGGUCAAGAACGCAAGACAAUCCAAGCACCACCGAUGGUGUUCUAGAAUGAAACCAAGCUAUUGCUCAAACGAAUGCUUUUCUAAGUUUCCAAACAAAGCAUCAAUAUGGUGUUGUCCUUACACCACAGAUUGUACGUGUAAGAACAACACCAUAUUGAUGCUAUGUUUGGAAACUUACAGUUCCUCCAUUUAUCCUCUCCUUCAGAAAAGCAUUUGUUCGUGCAAUAGCAUUGGUUUCAUUAUAGAACACCAUCAGUGGUGGUUGGAUUAUCUUGUCAUACUGAUCCCGUAUUUGCUAGUCACAAUGACACACUCCCAUUACCAAAACUAUAAACAAAAUGAGGAAAAUAUGUAGGACCAAAAAUGAACACUAUUUAUAGGUGUUUGUUGUACCAUAUAAAACUAACUUGUAGCAGAACCAAAUUGCCUUGUAGGGUCAUUUGUUUACGUGUCUUGUUAUUAUAGCUUAAGUCUAAUAAAUGGGUUAGAGUGAAUUGACUCUAAUUCUAUUUCAGAAUAAUUUUUACUUCUUGAACAACUUGUAUAUAACUCCAAUGGACAUGAAUUUGUGUAAUUGUUGUUAGAACGACACCAAUUAUGAACAAGACAAAGGCUCUUUUCAAGUCAUCAUCUAGAGUUUUUGAUGUAGAUAUCAUUUUUUUCCAGCCUGCUUAGCUCGAGCUUGUGUUUGCAUUGGCAUACCUCUUAUACAAUUCAAUGUCCACAAUUUUCUCUUCACUCUGCAUUGUUUCCUUUACAUAUUUGUCUACAUCAUAGCCUUCAAUCACUAGUCCCAUUAUAUUACUGACAUCCUCUAGAUUAAUAGUAAUAUAUUGAUCACAUAUAUUGAAACUUUGGUUGCUGACUUGGUUUGUGUUUGCAAGCUCCAAUAUCAUGUUUCUCCUGAGACACGUCUCUGGCAUAUGAAGCAGCCCCCCAAAUCUCAUAGCCUCAAUAUAGCAUCCUUGUGUGGUUGAUUUAAUCUUGUACGACUUUUGCAAAUCUUACAUGUGAGUGUGUUAAAUGCAUAGACACAUUCUGUAGGUACUAGUUGGUCGAUGAUAAGUUGAUAAAAAUGUAGAGGCAACCUACACAAAAAACUAGAACUAUAUAUGGAGAUUACUUGCUUGCUGGUCCCAUGUCGUAUUUGUUAGUACUAUCACUAGUAUCAUUGGUAUGUCCACCAAAUUAUGUGAAUAAGAAAUAUUAAAGUUGCUGAGAGAAGUAGUUUUUAUUAUGCUAAAACAUGGAAUGGUGGCGGGCAUGCUUGACAGCCUACCUUUCACGAUUUUCCCUUCUAAGGCAGACGGAUUUGGAGAAGAGAGGGAGAAGCCGAAGAGAAAGGACAAGUGAGCAAGCAGAAAUGAGUGUUCAGAAAACAUUUUCUUGCAUUAAAUAUGUUGUAGAACAUUGCCAAGCGCCACCACCACCAGUCACCCUACCGUGGCGCGGUAUGGUGUGGACGAAGCUCAUCCGCCACUACCGUGGCCGCCAGAGCUCCAUCCACACCCUACUGUGCCCACGAUGGCCGCCAUCCCCCUACCCCACCAUGAGGACAGAUCAACAGAACCUCGAAAAUCCCAUCCUAACCACAUCAAAGAAUACCAACAGAAUGCACUACCGUUACUUCGGAAAAUAGAUCAAUCGAAGGUGAUCCAUCAGGAACACGUUCCUUGGUGGGAUCCAUCUCGCAUUAUGUUGUAGGAACUCGAAAUUGUCAACCAUGUGAGCUCCAUGAACAAGAGGCGCUGGAGAGGAGAAAGUCUCGCAGGAAGAAGAGGCGUGCAUAAAUGAGGAUGACGCCGAACUUUUUCUAUACCUAAAUGGCCCGACCAGCUGAUCGGAUAGGGACAAAAACUAUUAACUCUCUAGCAACACUACCAACUAACAUUAUGGGUCCCGCAGGAUAGCCCUUGCGGCUACAUACACAAGCGACGACGCUUUCUCCCAGGCUCCUUUGUGUCUCCCACUUCUAAAAGACAUGGAUGCAACCAAACUAUAAAAUUCAGCAAAUAACUUCAUUAGGCACUGCGUAUUUCAAAAACAGGGGAAAAUAGGUGCAAAAAGUAGAACGUAGUUUUAUGCAGCACAACAUAACUAAGGGGGGGGGGAUAUUGAGUGACACGAAAUAUAAUUAAUUAUAAAAAAGUACCAUAAAAUAGAUUAGCGCAUCAACUUAAACGGUUCAUAGAGUAGUCAUUUAUAGGGAAAAAGACUGUCAUCUAAUAAGGAUGCACCUGGUUGGAAAACCCUUGAGCUCCAAACCAACCUUAUAGGUAAGCAAUGCAACAUCAAGCAGCCUUCUUCAAGACCAUCCAGUUUCCGAGCUUUGACAACAAUAAUUUCCUAAAAAAAAAGAAAAAACAACCUAAUCAAUUAGAGCAUAAAAGAAUAUUUUACCAUCUUGCAACGUAGUAUACUUCUAAGAUCUAUAUCACCUCACCGACACAAAUAAUGUAAUGUUCUUUUCAGGUCCAUAAGAUAAAAGUUAACUACCAAAAGAGCAGACUAAACUAAGCAGAAUCAUUAUUGCUAAGCUUGUCAGUAACAUUAUCAGUAUAAUAUUUCUAGUCUAAAAAAAGCUCAAAGUGUCUCUCACAAUGAAAGGCGUGUUUCCUAUUCUUGAAAAACAAAAACAAAUUUAUUUAAAACAAAUUCAUCAACCAAUCAGCAUUGCAAUGAUUAAAUGCUGAUUCGCUUUGUCUAUGUAAAACCUCCAUAAUCUGGGUACCUUUUCAUUGAUAUCAAUAGUAGUAUUCAAGACAGUGUUAAGUCUUGAAACUCAAAUAGCAGAAAUCACAUCUAAAUAACAGCUUUUGUCAACUAGUUAGUCAGAAAAGAAGCUAUUAGCAAUACAGAGAGAUAGAAAUAGUUGAAAAUCAUGCGCACCCAAUCCAACAAAAAAUUUAAGGUGUAAAUUAAGAAAGAUGAGCAACUUUGCCACAUUGUGUCAACCUUCCCUUCAAAAGUUACAUCAACCAGCCCUAGACUUGAUACAACUUGUGGCUGUAAUUUCCGGUCUCAUCUCAAUACCUUUUAUCUACUACAAGAUUCAGUGAUGUUUCCAAAGAAAUGUAGCAGGAGCUAUCUUAUUCCAUAGAGAGUUUAAAAUAGGUAGUGGCACAGAAGGAAAACCACUUGUCGGUUGAAGGGUACUAAUAUUACCAACUUGUUGCAAAUAUGACAAAUGGCGUGCCACUACCGGAUACACAAGGGACAUUUGAUUGGUGUGCUCGUAAAUGAGAAACAAUGAUUGAUUUUCAUAUGCCCAAUGCAAGUGAUGUUUGAACAACUUUUGCAAGGGCUUCUCUUGUGACUCUUUUAAUCAAACAUAAAAUGUCAGUUAAAACUUGUUGCUGCCACAAAUCCUAAUGAUUUCUGAAAUCUGCAGGUGUGAUCAGCAGGCUGACACAUAUGUUGAUGAAACCAGAUCUUUAGCUGGUAGACAUGUCAUUCUUUCAAGACUCAUAACAUGUUGAAUUUUAUAAGGCUUUGUUUAGUUUCCACCCAAAAACUUUUUGUCCCUGUCACAUCGAAUGUUUGGACAUAUAUUGUUAUGACCGGCAUCUCAUAUAGGAGGAGAUCUGCCCAGGGCUAGGCUGACAUUGGGAGGGGGGCUGCAAGCCCAGUUAUCUUUAUAUCUGUUAUUAGGAAUAUUAUUAUUAUUUAGGGGGUGAUUUAUAAAUUAUUAGGAGAAGGCUAUAUAUAUAUUUGUAAGACUCUAUGAGAUAAUUAAGCAGAAACAUAUUAUUGUUUCCGGCUUCCUGAAGGGAGCUGGGAGUUCUCUACCCUAAUUGCCUCUCUGCGCCUCCGCUCUCUCUCUCCCUCGACCACGGCGCCGGAGCGCCGCCGUCGAGCGUUCCGUCCAGCGCCACCACCCUCUCACCCAUACAACCUGCGCAGUGUGUCUGGUAGGAACCGUAAUCCUAUCAUAUAUAUAUAUAUAUAUAUAUAUAUAUAUAUAUAUAUGAAGUAUUAAAUAUAGAUAAAAAACUAAUUACACAGUUUGCAUAUAAUUUACGAGAUGAAUCUUUUAAGUCUAAUUAGUCCAUGAUUGAACACUAAUUGUUAUAGUUACAAAUGUGCUAUAAUACAAAAAAAAACUUUUCUUUUUGUGAACUAAACAAGUGUCCAGUUCACAUAAUAGCUUAAAAUUUUUGGGAAAUUUUGAUGAAGUAACAGAGUAACCAUGGUUUAUGCCCAAUACAAAAAUGAGAAAAACAAAACAACUGCUUCUGAAGGGUUCUUUUAGAGCUAACAUUUUCAUAGUAAUUGAACAAAGCAAUGCUUGUUAAUGAACUUUUCUGCAGUUCACAGUUAUUAACUACAGUAGAACAAUUAACAGAAUUUCUUACUGCACACAAGUUUUUUUUAUAUAGAGUAAAUAGAGAAAGUCAAUAAGGUUGACGAUUACAAAAGAAUGACCACAUGUGCAGGCAGUGGUAGAUAUGAUAAUCCACCCGUACAGAGACAGCCAAUAUAACAUGUGCACAUCAAUCAAACUAACACAUAAACCAAACAAAAACACUUGCACCAAAAUUACGCAGGAUGGCAUGCGCUGAGAUUACUUACAAAUCGAAGUCCUGACAUUGGUGCUAUUAACCAGCACCAGCAGUUUUGCACAAUCAUCCGACAAAUACAACAAAAUAUUAGAAUGAUAAAUACUUUGAUCAGAUCAAUCUCCUAGGGAUUAAUUAUACCUCCCAAGACGAUUGGCAUCAUAUCUGACUCUCUGAAAGGGGACGAGCGGCCGCCAUGGCCCAUGGCCAUGGUUGACUGUGUGGGCGAGGUGAAUCGCGCCGGCUUUGCGCUUCUGGGAUCUGGCUGAAACGAAACAUGGGGGCUGGGGAUGGUGG